UUUGGUUACUUGGUCUAUUUGCUGUCACAAGGGCGGCAGUUACUCCGAAACUAUGUUGCUCAAAACAUCAACUGACAGCUGAUCUUCAUCAGGUCACUGGAUCCUACUUCAAUGGUACUCCUUCUACCCUGGAGGUUUCAAUGAAGUUAUAUUAUGACUACGAUAAAUUGAUGAUGAAAACGGUGCGAUUAGAUGGUACAACUACCGUUCAGGAUUUUAAUC